rnacentral:rRNA from 1 species
AGGCUUAACACAUGCAAGUCGAGGGGCAUCCUUGAGGGAAGCUUGCUUUCCUUGCCGGCGACCGGCGCACGGGUGAGUAACACGUAUGCAACCUGCCCUCUUCAGGGGGACAACCUUCCGAAAGGGAGGCUAAUCCCGCGUAUAUCGGUUUCGGGCAUCCGAGAUCGAGGAAAGAUUCAUCGGAAGAGGAUGGGCAUGCGGCGCAUUAGCUAGACGGCGGGGUAACGGCCCACCGUGGCGACGAUGCGUAGGGGUUCUGAGAGGAAGGUCCCCCAUACUGGUACUGAGACACGGACCAGACUCCUACGGGAGGCAGCAGUGAGGAAUAUUGGUCAAUGGGAGAGAUCCUGAACCAGCCAAGCCGCGUGAGGGAAGACGGCCCUAUGGGUUGUAAACCUCUUUUGUCGGAGAACAAAACCCGGGACGUGUCCCGGACUGCGUGUAUCCGAAGAAAAAGCAUCGGCUAACUCCGUGCCAGCAGCCGCGGUAAUACGGAGGAUGCGAGCGUUAUCCGGAUUUAUUGGGUUUAAAGGGUGCGUAGGCGGUCCGUUAAGUCAGCGGUAAAAUUGCGGGGCUCAACCCCGUCGAGCCGUUGAAACUGGCAGACUUGAGUUGGCGAGAAGUACGCGGAAUGCGCGGUGUAGCGGUGAAAUGCAUAGAUAUCGCGCAGAACUCCGAUUGCGAAGGCAGCGUACCGGCGCCAGACUGACGCUGAGGCACGAAAGCGUGGGGAUCGAACAGGAUUAGAUACCCUGGUAGUCCACGCAGUAAACGAUGAAUGCUGGUUGUCCGGGUCGAAUGAGACCUGGGCGGCGAAGCGAAAGCGAUAAGCAUUCCACCUGGGGAGUACGCCGGCAACGGUGAAACUCAAAGGAAUUGACGGGGGCCCGCACAAGCGGAGGAACAUGUGGUUUAAUUCGAUGAUACGCGAGGAACCUUACCCGGGCUCAAACGGGAGUGGAAUGGACCAGAGACGGUUCAGCCUACGGGCCGCUUCCGAGGUGCUGCAUGGUUGUCGUCAGCUCGUGCCGUGAGGUGUCGGCUUAAGUGCCAUAACGAGCGCAACCCCCGCCGGCAGUUGCUAACGGGCAAUGCCGAGGACUCUGCCGGGACUGCCGCCGCAAGGCGUGAGGAAGGCGGGGAUGACGUCAAAUCAGCACGGCCCUUACGUCCGGGGCGACACACGUGUUACAAUGGGCGGUACAGCGGGAAGCCAGGCGGCGACGCCGAGCGGAACCCGAAAGCCGUUCUCAGUUCGGAUCGGAGUCUGCAACCCGACUCCGUGAAGCUGGAUUCGCUAGUAAUCGAGCAUCAGCCAUGGCGCGGUGAAUACGUUCCCGG